rnacentral:lncRNA from 1 species
CCUUAACACUUUCACUACUGAUUUUAUUUUUUCCGCGGGUUUCUGUGGCCGAGGCAAAUUUGCACGCUCAGAUUCCCCAGCCUGAAUUAAUUUCGUGACCGGUGCUUCAAGAAAAGUUGCAAAUUGAAAAACGUGCUGCAACUCGAGAACGCAGUCUCAGAUCGCCUAAACAACUGAUACAGAAGUUCAAAAGGUUGCUCUGUAAAAGAUUUUCCUAGUGAAUUAAAAUUAAAACAAAAAAUAAUGUCUUUACAAUGCUUGAAAGAUCGAUUUUUGUUACCUUUUUAGCUCAAUGUUGCCAAAAUGUCGACAUUCGGAUGUACUUUUUUACGUUUAAAAUGUGUUUAAACGGAUAUAAUUCAGCAAAUCAUUAUAACCGAGUCUUCUUAUUUAUCUUAUCACUCGUUUUUGUCAUUUAAACAUCGUUUAUAGCAAAACCGAAGCUUUUUAUCUCUCCUAAAUUAACCGUUUGACUUUUCGUUUCCGACCGCCAUUUGUAUUGAUGAAAAGACAACUCUGUCAAUCGACGAACGACUACUCGUUUUCAAAGUGAUAGAUCAUGAUACGAUCAUAUACUCAUAUAUACGGAUACCACGGAUACGUUGUUGAUAUUGUAAACACUGGUAUUAAAGAGUGUUAUUAAACAAACAAGAUAUGUUUGUUGUUUCAUUUUCCCUGGUAAACAUAACAAUACUAUAUAAAAAAAAAAAAAAUCUGCUAAAAAAAAUUAUUUUUGGUUCAAUCAGACAUAUACGUCUCUGGUUCAAUUAGUCCAUGCUGCCUAUUUUAGAAGAAUAAAAAAGCAGAAUAUAGUUGGUCAUGAUUAUCUUUUAUAAGUAGAUAAAACAAAAUGGAUUAAUUAUUUACCAGGGUCAACCAUUAUAUAUAUAUAUAUACAAGUAUUUUUGUAGUUGGUCUUUUUUUCAAAGGUUUGGUGUUUUUUCAACUUCCUCUAUUACCAUGAUUACCAAUAUGCAACAGCUUUGUUCUAGAUUUUCUGAUUAUGUAAUUUGAAAAACUUUUAAUCACUGAGUAUAUAAAAUAUAUUAAAUUACUAUUUUAAUUAUGAUAGAUACUUUAGUUAUCAUAUAUAUACAUGUACAUUGUAAUCAUGUGAAGAAUAAUCACUUACACAAUGAAUUUCUACUCUCAUUACAUAUGUACACAUAUCUGUCAUAUGUUUCAUCCUUUCUUGAUAAUUCAGUGCAGUUUCAUUUUUCCCAUAUCAAGUCACAAAACUUUAGAUUUUGAUAAAAAAUUAAGCAAUAUUUUCCCAUUUAUAUAAUCAGUAUUACAAUUAACUAAGAGAAUUUGAUAACUAAAUUAUGAACUUUCAACAAUAAAAUUUUAACAAACAACAAGAACAAAUUAAAUACAGCAAACUUGACUUCUCUCUUUAUUGUUCCAGUUUGAAGGCAUGUGUGUGAACUUAUGUCUAGUAAUGGCCUUACCCUGCUUACCCCAGCACAAAAUAUCUAUUUAUCAAUCCUUUUUACCAGCAAACAAGAAAACUGAAGAAAUUUUAGGUUGGAUGAAUGGUAAAUAAUAUGUAGGCAUUACAAAUUUAACUAUCCCAAGUAAAAUGAAAUAUACUUUUUUGAGCCAUUGCAAGGUUUUUUGAUAAUAUCAAUAAUACUAGAUGUAUUGGUCAGCCACCCCUGUUUGAAGGG